rnacentral:rRNA from 1 species
CAGUAGCCACGGGAAUACGUAGGUGGCAAGCGUUGUCCGGAAUUAUUGGGCGUAAAGGGCUCGCAGGCGGUUUCUUAAGUCUGAUGUGAAAGCCCCCGGCUCAACCGGGGAGGGUCAUUGGAAACUGGGAAACUUGAGUGCAGAAGAGGAGAGUGGAAUUCCACGUGUAGCGGUGAAAUGCGUAGAGAUGUAGAGGAACACCAGUGGCGAAGGCGACUCUCUGGUCUGUAACUGACGCUGAGGAGCGAAAGCGUGGGGAGCGAACAGGAUUAGAUACCCGCGUAGUCCCUGUCUCUUAUAC